GGGGCCGUCUUGGCUUUGACGGGAAUAGUUAGUUUAAGUUGCAAGCCGAAAGUAAUCACGAUACGAUUGCAAACAAAAAAUAACUGGAAACAGAAAUUAUAACUACGCUCCAUCUUUUGCCUAAUAAAUAGGCAGGAGCGGUUCUUUCACUUCUUUGCUUGUGAGAAAUGACAAGGACUUAUAUAGCAAGCUAUAUUAUUUAAUUUGUCCUAAUUAAAUAACGAAAAUUUUGGACUAAUAAAUAUUUGGGUUGUUAGUUACUAACAAAUAUUUGUGAAAUUAAAUAACUAACUAAGCUUGUAGAUGCUUAAAUAUCUCUAUUUUCGGACAGGGGUUCGAAUCCCCUCGGCUCCACCA
rnacentral:tmRNA from 2 species